CUCUCUCUCCCGCACUCGCGCAGCCCCUCGCCUCUUCCUCCCCCUCCUGCCCACUCGCUCGAUCCGCCGUCACCACCUCGGUCGCCGGCCGAUUCCGGCCGCUCCGGUGAGCUCCGGCUCCGCCCAACACACGCACGACUGCUCCUCGAUGAGCUCUACCACCUUCACCGCGCCGAUCUACUUUUCCUCGCCUCCUGUGGUCGCCCCUUCGAUUUCCCCCGCUAGGGUUUCAGUGGUGGAGGUGGACCUCGCCUCCGGCGACCGCCUGCUCGUUGCGCCGGUCAUCUCCGCCCCCGUCAAGGUCGCCCCUCGGAGCUGCUCCUGAUCCACCGGGGGAGGCGAGGAGCACCGACAGACGAGGACCGUCAUGGCCGGCGGACUGCUGGUCGUUGAUCCGGCGCUUCGGCCUCCCACAGCUUCUUCGACCACUACUCCCGACGAGGACCUGGCCGAGGGUGCUCAAGGGGCUCGGCCAAGUCGGAUGCCAGGUGGUGCGCGCAGCCGAGGAGCGCCAGCCGCUGGCGCUUGAUGUGGCGCUCCCCCCGUCGCUACCGCUCGUUCGCGGCUCCUCCCCCCCCCCACCCCAACGGAUCGCGACCGAGCCUUCCUUGUGCCAGCCCCUCGUGGCCAUGAAGGGUGGCUGAGCCAUCGGGAGCGACGGCGGCGGCCUGCUGCGGACGCUGCUGUGGCUCCCUCUUCUUCAUCGAUGGCUUCUACCUGUUUGUGUCGACGACAUGUACAUCCUGUCCUCCCCGUGCUUCUGCUUGCCCGGGACGCAACUCUUUGGUGUGCUCGAGAAGAUGUGCAAGAAGAAAAGGGCCACUGGAUUGUACAGGAGGAACGGGAUGCUGUUCUCUGCUACUCGACCUAGCCUUGCUGCUCGACCACACUCGACCUAGCCUUGCUGCUCGACCACACUCGACCUAGCCUUGCUGCUUGACCACAUUGCCCCUGAAAACAUGGUAAGGGCAAGGAUGGAUUUAUGCAAAUUCACGUCGUUGAUGCGGGAUCGCGCCGGCCCUCCCUUGUGCUAGCCAGCCAUCAGGAAGCUCCUGGUGGUGCUCCUGGAUGUGCUAUGCAUCACCUCAUCCUCGUGCUCAUCGGUGGGACGAUGCAAGGCGCAACUCCAAUGCAGCGGCGUGGAUGUGCGGUGUAGGAAGCGGUUCCUCGCCAGCUGGAUGGCGUUCAGGCGCAACCCCGGCGCCCACUGAGUACUGCCUCGGCUACAACCUCCCUCGGUGAGCUCCAUCUUCCUCCUGCUCUGCUUCGGCUACUGCAUGGGACAUGGCCAGGGCUACGAUGAUCAGUUAUGGCUGGUAUAGGCAUGCUCUCGAGCAAUUGUGGCACUUGUGGGUAUUAAUUUGGAUCCCCCUCAUUUCUUUGAGCCAUUUUGAUCACGUUCUUAUUUUAGUGGCUCUGUCCUUGGAUGGUCAUUUCUGAUGAGUGAUAACCAGGGCAGUUUCACCGUCGUAAGAACAUAUUGAUCUGGUGAUCCAUCGAGAAAGAAGAAACGAAAUACCUCACCUGGCUCCUCAGAGCUCAGACACUUUCGGCCGUCGGAUCGGUUUCCUGAUGCGAUUCUGGCUGCCGGAUCUCGCUCCGGAUUGAUCUCGGCCGUAAGAUCGAGCCCGAGCUCCUGUAGCCACAAAUAGUUACUCCUACGGUGAGAUAUCUCGUGCCACCACGUUUGAAUCAUGUGCCCCAUUGGUCGGAAGCCAUUCUUGCUAGGGCGAUGAUGAUUAGCCGUGGCUGAAAUAAGUGUGCCUUUGAGCAAUCGAGGCACCUAUGGGUAUCAAGUUGGAUCCUCCUCCUUGUCUCUAGAAUCCUUUUUGAUCCUUUGAUACUUAUUGUUCUGUCCUUGGAUGGUCAUUCUUGUUGAAUGAUAACCAGGGCAGCUCCACUGUAUAAACAGAUUAAUAUGGUGAAAGAGAUGAUGGGGGUAGAUUAUAUGAUCGAGGAAAGGCGAAUCUGAGCCCACUAUGCAUUGAACCCUGAACCCUUCUUAUUUGUAUUUAAAGGUGUUGCUUAUUUAUGCUCCAGUGUUUAUAGUUGUCUUAUGUAAAGAUUUCUUCUCUCUCA